AUUAGAAAACCAAAUUGUCCUAUCACCGAUAGGGAGCUUGGCAGCUGCCGGCCGGGAUCCACGACCGGCGUUGCUGCCCGUGCUCACCAGCACCGCCCCUAGAGACGUGCUGGUUGACGCGCCGAAGUCCCCUGCUGGUGUCCCUGCAGGUUCGUCCUCGACCACCGCCGCUGGACGCGUCGGCCACCACCCGCUGCCCACCACCCGCCGCAGAUCCCCGUGGCCGGAGGCACCACGGAGGCCUGCCACUGGACGCGUCGAGGCCUUCGGCUGUACGGACUACCUAUUUGGCCCUGGCCGACACCACUGGCCGUGACCAAGUCGUUCUACCUAGGAUUGCAGCUAGCAGUUUCCAAGUCUGCAGGCAAGUUGUUUGUGGUUUCCGGAGCAGAUGGACCUGUGGUCAGAGUUGUUUCAUCGCUGGACAAGAAAUUUGAAGUUAAAUCACGUUCGUUUUUGAGAUAUCGCAAGAAUAGAAGUACCCAGCAGAAUUCCCUUACACAUCGAAUGGCUCUUCAGAAUGACAUAUGAACAGAGCUUGCCCUGCAAGGUGCUCUCCAUGCGCUUCGGUGGUAGAUUUGGCACGAGAGCGCAUACAUGCAAACACAGGCUAGGAGGUUGAGAAGAAUGGAUUGAAGAACCGAACCAAGGUCUGGCCAUCCUCAACACACUCCGUGCCAUCGUGUCAACCUCUGCAUCAACGACGGCGACAAUAGGCACAAUGUCUGACAGAUAGACAUAUAUCUAUAUUCUGUGGGUUCCUUCUCACUUCUGCUUCGGUACAAAAUAGUGCAGACAUUUGAGUGCUUUGAUUGCUACUUCGAUGUUGCCUCGAGCCCCUCAAGUGUUCUAGUUACCAGCUCUCAGCUAGUUCAAUACCCAUGUUAUUAGGCAUGAACAUCUAUAGACGGACAUGAUGUAUGUAGUUUGCUGUGUUGCAAGGUCAGUGCUGAAACUUCACUUCUGUAUAAACAGGCCAUUCUGAACUGAUGUUAUCUAACUAUGCAUGGUUACUGAAUCAU